UUUCGGUGCCGAUAGUUGCGGUCAAUGCAAUUUUUCAUUCUUUCUCUCAAUGAGUAGCCCUAUCUUCGGUGGUUAUUUUGCGUAAAAUUUUUAUACAACUUGUUGCGUCUCAUCGGUUUGAAACUAUUUUCAGUUGAAGGUCCGGCCAAAAUACGUAAUUUAGACGGUCCAAUGACCUUUUCCGUGCGUUUAGGGGUUUGACUUAACGGAUUGACCGUCCAGAUCGAGCCCUUAACCUUGUCGGAUCAAGUUGAAUUUUUUUCCAUACAUGUAUUUUGUCAUGGUGGUCAGAUCUGACGGUCGGAUUUCCGUUUCUCAAGUUUGAUCAUCACAAUCACAACAUGCCUACUAAUGUUGUAUAACUAGUUUACCAAGUAAAUGUUCCGUUUCAAAAACAAACUAUACGUAAAACCUUCAAACGCAAAAAUGUCGUGAAAUAAGAUAUGACCGGAAUGGUGAAAUACGUCCACGGUUGAAAAAUCACAGUAUUCCGGUAAAGUUUCGGUGCCGAUAGUUGCGGUCAAUGCAAUUUUUCAUUUUUUCUCCCUAUGAGUAGCCCUAUCUUCGGUGGUUAUUUUGCGUAAAAUUUUUAUACGACUUGUUGCGUCUCAUCGGUUUGAAACUAUUUUCAGUUGAAGGUCCGGCCAAAAUACAUAAUUUAGACGGUCCAAUGACCUUUUCCGUGCGUUUAGGGGUUUGACUUAACGGAUUGACCGUUCGGAUCGAGCCCUUAACCUUGUCGGAUCAAGUUGAAUUUUUUCCCAUACAUGUAUUUUAUCAUGAUGGUCAGAUCUGACGGUCGGAUUUUCGUUUCUCAAGUUUGAUCAUCACAAUCACAAUUUGCCGAAUGUAUAAAAAGUACUAUAGCCGACGAAGUUCAACGGUUUAGCCGACGAAUUUCAAAGAUUUAGCCGACGAAUUUCAAAGGUUUAGCCGACAAAUUUGAUCUUAGCCGACGAGAUUAUUAUCUUUAGCCAACGAAAUAAUAAUUUCAUUGGCUAAGGUUGUCGGGUAUAGAGGCGAACACCCAGCGGUCGACAGCAGAAAAACCCUAGCUCCUUUUCCUCCUCCUCCGCCUCCUCUCCCUCUCCCGGUCGCCCUCUCCCUCUCCCGGUCUGCCUCCUCCGCCUCCUCUCCCUCUCCCGGUCUCCGCCUCCUCUCUCUCCCUCUCCCGGUCUCUGCCUCCUCUCCCUCUCCCUCUCCCGGUCGCCGCCCUCUCCCUCUCCCUCUCCCUCUCCCGGUCGCCGCCCUCUCCCGGUCGCCCUCUACUGGUCGCCUGCUCCGGCCCUCCCUCCCCCUUCUGCUGCUCCGGUCCUCCCUCCUCCUCCUGCUGCUCCAGCCUUGAGCCCUUCCUCCUCCUCAAGUACAUUUAUGUUUCACAUUUCAUUUUGUGUUUGCUUUGAUUUUCCGGUCAAUUGCAAUGUUGUGGUGUUGUUAGGAAGUGUAUAUUUGUAUUUAGGAAGUGUAUAUUUGUAUUUAGUAUUUAAGAAGUGUAUAUUUUUAUCAGGCCCGCUCACCUGCGGGACAAGUUUUACGGGACCAAAAGGGAUGAACUGUUCCCAGCCGUCAAAUCUUAAGUAAAACGAUCUGAUGGACACAGAUGCUCAUACAUCAAAACACAAUACUUAGACCCAUGUACCCGAUUUUGUCUCUACUGCCAAAGACUGCGAGUCUCUCUCCUCUGACAUCUUUUUCCUCCCUAAAACCUCUCUCCCUCAGUUUGGAGGGGAAGAUCUUGAUGCAAUUGCAACCUUAUACACUGGGUUGAUUGGCCAGAAGAAUCGAUGAAUUCCAAGAGGCAAUAACUUGAGAGAUUUUCUUUAACCUGCAGCUAAUCUCGUCUGUCUCUCUCUCACAAAGACUCCACUCAAUGAAGAUUGGGAUCUAGAGGGGGGUGUCCUCCAUUUUCGUCAAUUGAUUGUAUCUAGUGUUCGGGGCCUCGGAGGUGGGUUUUCUCUGUUUGGGACAUACAUAUUUGAAUCUUGAAGGAGAUAGAUGGGUUGGUUUCAAUUGGGAAAAAAUGAGGUUUGAAGCUGGUGAUUCUUCAAUUCGGGAAAUUUGAGGGAGAUGGGUUGGAUUGAUUUGUUUUGGAAAUCAAUUGGAUUAAUAAUUUCAUAGCAUAGUACUACUGCAGCAAAUGGGUUUACAUUUGUUUUUUUUUUUUUUAUUGAAUUGACUGGCUAGGUUGGAAAACAUACCCAAGAUCAUCACUUUCAGGAAUGCAAGACUUGGAAAAUAAAUUCAACCCAGGCCAAAAGAAACAAAACCCAGAAUUCCAGAAACUAAUCCUGGAAUCUUUGAGAAGAGAGAAAGAGACAACAGUGACUGGAUCUGCUGUCGGGUAAAGUAAUCCGGAUUUUAUUGGUUUGCACAUCUGUGUCCAUCAGAUCGUUUCACUUAAAUCUGACGGCCGGGAAGAGUUCAUCCCUUUUGGUCCCGUAAAUUUUGUCUCGUAGGUGAGCGGGCCUGAUAUUUUUAUUUAGUAUUUUAUGUUUGCUUUGAUUUUCCGGUCAAUUGCAAUGUUGUGGUGUUGUUAGGAAGUGUAUAUUUUUAUUUAGGAAGUGUAUAUUUGUAUUUAGUAUUUUUAGGAAAUGUAUAUUUUUAUUUAGUAUUUAGGAAGUGUAUAUUUGUAUUUAAGAAGUGUAAAUUUGUAUUUAGGAAGUGUAUAUAUUUUUUUUUGACUAAUUGAAUGGGUUUACAUUAUUUGAUUUUGUGGUGUUGUUACGAAUAUGAAAAUAAGCAUGAAAUUAAUAUUUUAAACAAGAUGAGCGGUAAUAUUAGAUCGACGAAGGGUUCGAAGGGCCAAAGGUCCAAAUUGUCUGAGGGAACCUCUAGCAACCCUCAAACGUUGUUUCAGGGCCCCAUGACAGCCAGACGUGCGAGCCUUCUGCAGACAUCACAGAGGCAGCCGGAGGUGCACCCUUCAUCGAGGCAGCGGGGCGUCCCUCAUUCCUCGAGGCAGUUGUGGCCUCAGACCCAGACGGAGGUGUUUGCACCCCGUAUGCCUGAGAUACACCGGGCGCCCACUCCAGGUCCUACUUCUUCGGAUAGUGGGUCAUCUGGGGUACAGAUGCCGCCGCCUCAUCUGUUCCUUCCGCGGAUGAUACCGGCCUUACCUGCAGUCGAUGGUUCAGGGACGCCGAUUUAUCCACUGCCCCCGCCAGUGGCUCUAUCAGCGGCGUACCGGUUCGUGCCUUUUGAUACGCCUCUUAUUUCCGCGAGGGUAUCAUCAUCGGCGACAGAGACGCAAUCCGUCGCGUCCGCCGCAUCGCCCUCAGGUAAUGAAAGAUGAAUUAUCUGUUUUCUUAUAAUUCUCCAAUUUUAAUAAUCAAUUUGGUUUAUUAUGUGAUAGGCACCGUCGGAGCGAAGCCGGCAAAGAAGAAGAGAGGCCCCGUCACAAGGAAGGCUCUCGAGAAGAUCGUCGGUACCUCAGGGAGGAUCGUCAUCCAUAUUGACGGGGAUGGCGACAUAGUAUCGGGCGGGAAGUCGAGGACGUACUCCGGCCGCAUGGGAGUGCUCAUUAGGGAUACAGUCCCUAUGUUGUGGUCAGACUGGGGCGAGGUCCCGCAGGAGGUUAAGGACAUGGUCCACAACGCGAUGUCGGUGAGUUUACAAAAUGCCUCAAUAAUAUUAUGUAUUACAUUGUUGAUUUCUCGAAAAACUAAACUAAUAAACGGUUAAAUGCAGGUGUGGUUUGAGGUUCCCGAGUACCUAAAGAGCAGCUGGGCCGACGUUGUGCAUGGGGGAAGGUACGUUGGGAAGUUAAUGAAAAAACAAAAUUGUAUGUGAUAUUAAUAAUAUUUCUAAUAUUUUUUUGUAUCUGUAGGUACAAGGAGUGGAAGAACGAGUUGCGGACCCACUGGACUACGCACGGGAACACACAUUCUGGUACCCCUGUUGAGUUCCAGUACAGGGAGUACGAGUGGCGUUGGCUUCUGACAUCAGAAUUCAACAACCCUCGUAAACAGAUAUUUAAAAAAAUUAAUUAGUUAAUUUGUCAUUAAGUACGUGCGUUUUUAAAUAUUUUACUAAUAGUUUAUUUUUUUCUUUGAAGGCCGUUUCCCGGGUGAACGCUCAGAACCGGCAACGCAACACAAGGAACCAUCGUGCCGGUUCUAGACCGUUCGCUGUCUUCAUGGGCGAGGCGGCCAGGGAACAUCCAGAAGUCAACCAGUACGUCUAUACGUACGGGAAGGCAUAUCCUGACGCUCAGGAGGAUAUUGUAAGUUAUCUUCCGUUUUUAAAUUUUUAAUUUUACUUAUAUAUAUAUGUCAAAAUGUUAAUUAAUAAUUUUUUUCCUAUCCAAUUAGGUGAAAGUGAGGGAGGCUAGUGACUAGGUGAUGAGUGCUAUAGUGAGAGAGACAUGGCCGGACACGCAGGAGGAAGAGAUGUCCGAAGCCAUGUCCCGGAUCGACACUUCGGAUCCGACGGUUAGGGCUAGGAUCAUAGGCACAGCCUUCCCACCGCGAGCAAACAACUACUACUGCCGGGGUCUAGGAAAGAAGGGCGAGGGGGUCCUGAAGACCACUCCAGGAUUUCAACGAAAGGCAGCCUCGACCAGCAGCAGGACCACGACCACGACCACGACCACGACCACCAGGAUGACUUAGCUAGAGUCGGAACUUCAGAGACUACGGGAACAGCAAGUUGCUCAGACUGCCUAUAAUGCCUCGCAGGUAGCCUAUAAUGCCUCGCAGGCAGCCUAUAAUGCCGCGCAGGCAGCCUAUGUUGUCGAGAUACAUGCCAUCCAGCAGGCCUAGCAGCAGCAGAUGUUCCAGUACAUGCAGGACUUUACAGCUGCCCAGCUUCAAGGACUUCCGGCUCCACCCAUGCCUACGGCUAUACCGCUACCUCAGUCGCCGCAACCUCCGCAGCAGCCUCCAGAAGCGGAUAUUAAUUUAGACGAUCUAGAUUUUGUGUANNNNNNNNNNNNNNNNNNNNNNNNNNNNNNNNNNNNNNNNNNNNNNNNNNNNNNNNNNNNNNNNNNNNNNNNNNNNNNNNNNNNNNNNNNNNNNNNNNNNNNNNNNNNNNNNNNNNNNNNNNNNNNNNNNNNNNNNNNNNNNNNNNNNNNNNNNNNNNNNNNNNNNNNNNNNNNNNNNNNNNNNNNNNNNNNNNNNNNNNNNNNNNNNNNNNNNNNNNNNNNNNNNNNNNNNNNNNNNNNNNNNNNNNNNNNNNNNNNNNNNNNNNNNNNNNNNNNNNNNNNNNNNNNNNNNNNGUCGGCUAAAGUCUGAGAAAAAACCGAACGACAUGUUUUUCGUCGGCUAAACUCUUGGACUAUAGCUGACGAAUAUCUUAAAUUUUUCGUCGGCUAAAGUCUGGGAAAAAAACCGUCGACAUGUUUUUCGUCGGCUAAACUCUGGGACUAUAGCAGACGACGUCUUCUAGUUUCGUCGGCUAAAGUCAUCGCCGACGACCUUUUCCCGACGAAAUUUUAGCCGACGAUGAAUCGUCGGCUAAGAUCUUAGCCGACGAAUUAAGCUAACAGGUUGACGAAACUUUUUCGUCGGCUAAAGUGCUUGUCCUGAUAGUGAAAUGAGUAGGGGAAGACUUGGGAUAUAAGGCAAAGCUUCUUCAGUUGUUCUAAGAACUACUAUUACAUGUAGGGCAUGGCUGCAGACAAGCUAGGGGGUGACGAGAAUGGUCACCUUGCAUGUUAAGUGUAGCUAACAAAUGGGGCAAAACCCGAUCCUGCUCAAAAUCUGAUUGAAGUUAAUUUGUUUAUAUAUCAAAAUCCGUUUCUUUUGUAUUUUAGCUUUUGGGGAGAAAAUUGACACAGUGACCCUCAUGGACAUGCAUUAUAUUAACGUUCAAUUAUGUCUAGCCAGACGGUUUACAUUUGUAUAGUAAUAGACAUGAAAUUUAUUUGGCAAUGUGAUUAUCGAAUUGCCAUUUAUUUAAAUUUUAUUUGUGUAAGGAAAAAUGACAACUUAUAAAUGGUUGUAGUGUCGAACAAAACUUUGAAAUGGUUGUUUCUGCGCGCAGUUGGCGUCUUGCAUGGACACCAUGUGUAGGCUAGCUAAAGCUAGGGCUUGUAUAAGUUUGUUGGUUUCAGCUGGUCGAUCAUCAAAUGCAUGUCGAUCUCUGUACUUGCAUAAUAAUUCUUAAAGUCUGACACGCACCACGCAUGCAUAUCAAUUCAACAUUAUGAGGAAGACGCAACUAAUGAAAUGUAACCAGCUAGUUCGAUUCAAAACUUCAGAGGAAUAUGUAUAGCUGUAUCCUAGGAAUGACCACAAGUACCUCAAGAGAUUUCAAGCUUAUUACAACUAAAUUGAGAAUAUAUAUGAAUAUCAUAGCUCAUAUAAAUUGCCAAGUAUCAUAUGGAAAGCUUAAUGUGAUAAGAUUACAUAUAACUCAGAGGAAACAUAUAUCAUAUUUUCCCUUUAUUAUUUAGGACGAUCGAUGCAUGUAGCAUAGCUAGCCGAAGAACAUUCGAAAAGUAGGUAUUGAAUUACAUGCUUUUAUUGGUACAAGUCUGUCUCAUCGUAUUCACUUUCAUGAGCUCUAUUUCUUCGAUUAUCCAACACCACCGCCACCGCCACCGCCACCGCCACCGCCACCGCCUCCGCCUCCUCCACCACCUCCACCACCUCCGCCUCCACCUCCUCCAUUGCUUCCGAAGCCAUAACCUCCACCAUAUCCACCUGACCCCCACCGCCGCCGCCUCCUCCUCCACCGCCCCCUUCAUCAUCCCCACCACCGUAUCCACCUCCACCACCAAUAUUGCUAUUUCUUCCCGAGACUCCCUUACGACUACUCCCUUGAUCUCCACAGCCACAGCAAGCAUUAGCUGCACCGGUAUCACACUUGUUCUCAUAUUGAAGCGGUCUAUUUCCAAUCUCAACUGAUCUAAAGGAUGUUUCGUGGCUACCAAUCGUGGAGGACAACAUUGAUAACAGAGGUACUAGUAGGAGAAGCACAGUACUAAACACGAAAGAGAGUCUCUUCAUGUUUGUGAGAUUUGAUCUAUAAAACAAAACUAAUACAAUUUUUGUUGGUUUUACGAUGAAAUACUUCAUGCUCGAUCAUAUAUAUGCUCAUUUAGCCGAGGCAGGAGAAGAUAUACAUGCAAAUGCAUGUGAAUGAAUAAUCUAGCUAGCUGUAAUAUUUAAGGUCUCGAUGAGUGUAUGUAACUCUCGUGAGCAGACCAUCUGGUGAUUCCCCCUUAGCGCUAGCUGAUCCAGACUUCAUCGUAAUUGGUUCUGUUUUAUCAAGGUCCGUGAAUCUGAUGACCAGAAAAGUUCUGAUAAAUCGUUACCCGUCUGAAGCAUUAUUAUUGUGUAUCCUUGAUAUCCUGCAUAUAUACAGAAUAUUAAUCCAGCCAAGCUAGCUGCUGAUCCGAUUGGUUCAUGGUGCUCCCCAAGACUUGUAUACAUGCAUUCUCUGUAUACGAAUUAUUUUUUCGUCGGCUAACGUGGGCUUUAGCUGACGAAAUUUUAAAUUUUCGUUCGUCGGCUAAUUUAAAUUUUCGUCGGCUUUGGUCAACUUUAGACGAUGAAAUUAAAAUUUCAUCGUCUAAAUAAUUUUUUUCGUCGGCUAUAGUCUGUGAACAAAAUUUUUAAAAGUUUAGCCGACGAAAAAUAUAAUUUCUUCGGCUAAAGUGUCUUAAUUUUGUCGGCUAAAGUGCCUUAUAUUUGCAGAUCUGGACAACAACUCAUCUGGGAAAAAAAAACUAUACGUAGAACCUUCAAACGCAAAAAAGUCGUGAAAUAAGAUAUGACCAGAAUGGUGAAAUAUGUCUACGGUUAAAAAAUCAUAGUAUUCCGGUAAAGACUCGGUGCCGAUAGUUGCGGUCAAUGCAAUUUACCCUUAUUAUUCACUAUGCUGCUGAUUUGACGUUUGGUGUCCAAUUAACUAUCGUGAUACCUUUCCGAAAGCGUAACGGCCCUACAAGUCAAACUCAUGGCUAAUGCCAUGACAUAUGAGCCUUUUUGGUCAUCCGAGUCCGUUUAGGGCUUCAAAAUGCAGUUUUCUUAUUUCCGAUUGACCGUUUCGAUCGAGCCCUUAACGUUGUCGAAUCCAGUUGAAUUUUUUACCAUAGAUAUCUUUCGUUAUAAUGAUCAUAUCUGAGUGUCGAAUUUUGGUUUGUGAAUUUUAGUCAUCGGAAUCACAACGUGUCUACUAUUUACCGUUAUUAUUCCCUAUGGGGAGCCCUAUCGUCGGAAGGUAAAUGUCUCAAAAUUUUUAUAUGGGCAGUUGCGUCUCAUCUAUGUGAGAGUUUUUUGUGUGGAAGGUUUGACCAAACUACGUAAUAUAGAGGGAGAUAUGAGCGUUUUCGUGUGAUAAGUGACGAUGGAUUAUGGUUGAUUGUUUCGAUCGAGCCCUUAACGUUGUCGGAUCCAGUUGAAUUUUUUACCAUAGACAUCUUUCGUCAGAAUGAUCAUAUCUGAUGGUCAAAUUUUAGUUUGUGAAUUUUAGUCAUCGGAAUCACAACGUGUCUACUAAUGUUGUAUAACUUGUUUAAUAGGUUACACAACUUUGUGAACCAACUCUACAUAGGAAGUAAAAUUAUCAAAAAUCUUGUGAAAUAAGAUGUGUUCAGAAUGGUGAAAUACGGCUAUGGUUUAAAAAUCACGUAAAUCGGGUAACGUCUCGGUGCCGAUAGUAGCGGUCAACCCUAUUUACAGUUAUUAUUCCCUAUGGGGAGCCCUAUCGUCGGAAGGUAAAUGUCUCAAAAUUUUUAUAUAGGCGGUUGCGUCUCAUCUACGUGAAAGUUUUUCGUGUGGAUGGUUUGACCAAACUACGUAAUAUAGAGGGAGAUAUGAGCGUUUUCGUGAAUUUAUAGACUUUAGCCAACGAGAUAUUAAAAAAGUCGUCGGUUAAGGUCAAUUUUUUUGGCGGUAAACCAAAUUUGGAGGAAAAUUUUCAAAAGACUUUAGCCGACAAAAAUAUAUGAAAAGUCGUCGGCUAAAGUCGAAAAAUUUUCAAAAUUUUCAACCAAAAUUUUUUGGCGGUCAACCAAAAUUUUCAAAAGAGUUUAGCCGACGAAAAUAAAUAAUUUCGUCGGGUAAAAUUCUUUAUAUAGGAGUUUUACCGGAGGUGGAUGGUAAGAAGUUAGAAAAUCAGAAAAAGGUCCGGAUUUUUUUCUCGGCCUAGCUCCGCCGUCAAGCCAUCGGAGACCGCCACACUUGUCCCAAAAGCUUCGCCGUCGUCUCUACUUCAUUGCUGGACAGGUGGUGCAUCGAGUGGCGCCGCUGUGAGGGAUAAAUCGAGGUCCAAAACUCUGCCGGUUCGGAUUCGGUGUCGAUCGAAUUUCUCCUUCCUCAAGUCACCAUUUGGUGAGCUCUAUAUAUGGAUAAGUUGAGUUUGAUUAGUACUACAUUCCCCUAGAAUUUGGUAGCUCGAUUCGCUGUGUAUGAGGAGAAUCGAAGAUUUGAAGUUUUUAGGGUUUAAAAUUGGGGAUUUUUAUAUUUUGAUUCAAUUGAUCUGUUUCGGCUUAGAAUUGGGCUUCGACUUCUUCUAGAAAGUUGUUCGAAAUGUUGAGAGGAAGAUUCUGUCAAAUUUUGGUGGUGAUUGGAGGUGGCCGAAAGUUUCUGCAGUUUUUUUUUUCCAAAAAACCAGCAACUUUAGCCGACGAUAUUUAAAGGUUUAGUCGACGAUAUUUAAAAUAUAGCCGACGAUAUUUAAAGAUUUAACCGAUGAUAUUUAAAUACUAUAUUCGUCGGCUAUAAUAUUUUUUAAUUUUUUUAUAAGGUUUAGCCGACAAAUUAUGGCAUAUUUCGUCGGCUAUAGUUAUUUUUAAAAUUUUUUUUAUAAGGUGUAGCUGACGAAACAGACUAUAUUUCGUCGGCUAUAGUCUGGGAAAAAAAAUUUUAUUACAGAGUUUAGCCGACGAAUAUCUUAAUUGUGUCGUCGGCUAAAGUUUGGGAAAAAGACCGACGACAUGUUUUUCGUCGGCUAAACUGUGAGACUAUAGCCGAUGAAAUUUUCUUUUUCGUUGGCUAAAGUCAUCGCCGACGACCUUUUCCCGACGAAAUUUUAGCCGACGAAUUAAGCUAACAGGCCGAUGAAACUUUUUCGUCGGCUAAAGUGCUUGUCCUGGUAGUAAUACCAAUAGCUACGCUAAAAGACAACUGUGUGUGUUUAGCUGUGCAGCCACGAUGCAUGGCAUGGUACUCGAUCAUCAACAAAUACAUCUUAGAUGACAUGAUAUGUCACCUAAAGACAUCACCAAUUAAAAAAGAUUAUGCCAUGUCAUUUUUAAGUAAAAAAAGACAAUCUUAUCUUUCCAAAUCCAAUGACUCUAGAUUAUUUUUUCUUUUUAUUAAGAGAAAAAAAAAAGAUUUUCUGUCUUUCUGUUAUAUUUAAAAAAUAAGAAAUUUUAAAUACACACCCCUAAUAUCCUUAAUACACACCCCUUACUUAAUACACCUCUAUCAAGUUUUUUAUUUCAAUAUUAUACUUAAUACACAUCCCAAACUGCCUAAAAUGCCCUUAAUUUAUGAAAUAUUCCGUUAUUUAAUAUAAUUAAUAUAUAUAUUUAUUAUUUGGUACAUCUUUUUAUAUAUUAUUUCGUCUAAUUUUUGCUAGAAAUUUUUGGUAAUUAUUGUUCAAUUUAUAAUCAAAUGAUUAUUGUUAUAUCCCAACUCCAAAUCACUAAUACAAGUUUUCAAAAUUCACAAGUUAAUACAACUGUAGAAGUACAGUAUCUAUUAAACAUUGAUAGCUAGUUAUUCAAUAAAACAUGUCAUGAUAGAGAUGCAGUAAUUGACAAUAUGAUAUGCAAGAUCAAACUAAAACAAAGAUGCAGUACUUGACAAUAUGAUCUGUAAGAUCAAACUAAAGCUGAUACGGAUCCAAGAAAAAGAAGAAAAAAGACAACCCAAAUGAAUUGUGGAGAAGAAUUGGGGUUAGAGCCGGAAGAAUAAAUGCUUUCGAUGAUUUUAGGGUAGAAGAUGUUGAAAAGAACACUUCUAGAGUGAUUUUUUUUUUUAAUAAUAGAUUUAUGUUUUGGUCAUUUAGCUUACAUAUAAAAUCUCAAUAGAAACAUAAAAUAAUAAGGGUGUGUAUUAAGAGAUUAUGGGUGUGUAUUUAAAAUUUCUCUUAAAAAAUAUAUAAUUUCUAUCAUUUUUUUUCUUUUUUCCUUUUCAUCACUAUCAUGCUUAGAUUGAACACUAAAUACAAUGUGAAAAUACAUAUAAAUAUGAGAAUAUACUUGUUAAAAAACACAAAUUCUUAUGAAAUAUAUAUAUAUACACACACACACAUACAUAUAUAUAAUUUUCCAAGAAAAACCAAUUUCGUACAGAAGAAAAAAUUUACAUAUUGUUCUAGGAUAUUCUAUGUCUUUCUAUAUAUUCUUUAUGUGUGCUUUAGCCUUAUGUCAAUAGGAUAUGUAGUUAGACUAGAUCUAUGUAUUCAUAUCCUUACCAUAUUAAUAUUGUAUAAUUCCCUAUAUAAAGUGCUCAUAUCAAUGAAUAAGAUGAUGAUUAUCUUGCUAUCUCUUUGCCUAUACACUUUAUACUUCAUCACGUUAUCAUACACUUUGUUCUAACCUUAGAACUAAUAGCCCACCAUUUUCUUUCCAAACCCUAAAAACCAAAACCGGAGGUUCUCGGCCCUGCCUCGGCCGCCGCCGUCGCUUCCCGGCCGUCCACUCCGCUGCUUUCUUUUCAUCCGAUCAAGCAUCCAAGUGUUUACGGUAUGUUUAUUUUACAACCCUAAAACUCUUCUAAGUUCAAUAACCUCGGGGGAGAUAAAGUGCUUUCUCCCCUUCUUCUACUCCAUUCUAUGCUUGGGUCGGUGUAUUUGCAGGUAUCAAAAUCCCGGAAUUUUAUUCGCGGGUCAAGAGUGUGUUUGAUCAAUCUUGUUUCCUUGUCCGGGUUGUGUAUGAUCAACCCCGACCUAUCAUCGGAUUGUGUUUGAUCAAUCCGAGGCCUUUUCCGAAUUGUGUUUGAUCAAUUCACGGCUUUUCCGGAUUGUGUAUGAUCAAUCCGAAGGACAAAUCAUUAAAAACAUUGUUUGUGAUCUCUAUCGAGUCUCAUAACAGCUUGGUUUUGUAUGCAAGAGCAAUGUAACAUUCUGCUCCUUUGAGUUUUGACGUACUCGAUACCUAAGGCGAAUCUUCGCUUGGUAUCUGUGGAACCUUUCAUUGGAAAUGAUUAAACCACAUGUUUUGACCCCGAGGCUAACAAGCCUAGAUGCCGAGAUUUCACAUCUCAUGCGCUCAAAGUCUUUGACGCGCCAUAUCGACAAAAGUCUUCAAUGGCAAUCUGUGCAAAAAGUAAUGACCACAAAGUACUGUGGAAUGCAUUCAUGGAGCGUUUCUUGAAAGGUUCAUAUAACUGUACUUGUUGAGUUAUUAGUCAAGUGGAUUGUUCACCACCUUAAUUGACUACAUAUUGUCGAUGAUCUUUUGUGGCAUCAUGAUCCAUAAUCUUUAGCGGAUUCGAUCAUCAUCAAGUUCUCUAGCUAGGUCCUCCAAGUUGGUUUGAAAUUACCAACAAGACUUAAUUUUGAUCUUACAAUUGCAAACGAGAAUUGUAUAUACGUUAAUGUGAUAAACGUAUUUGGGAUUAUCUCCUAAUGUGGGGACAACAAUAUGGGUCAUGGCAACGGUAGAAAACACCGUGCCGAUGUCUAGAAAAGAGGGGGAGGUGCCGCCGGCCCUAAUGGCGACACUCUCGGUCUAGACACCAAUUAUAUUUGUCAAAACUACUCACGUUAGCUCAUGACAAUGCAACCGUUGUGGAUCUUUGGAUCACUGGUUCAAGAUUGUCAAGCUCCUUCAAAUUGUGAAUGCAUACAAAAAGGUACGGAAAAUUAAUAUGAGGACAAGAACGUCAUCCUCAUGAUCAAGAAUUUCGAAGAUUCGGAUCCUGCUCUAACUACCCCUAACUUUGACAUCAUUGGCUAGACAUUGAUUUUCUUUCCAAGCUAUAGGUAAUAAGUCUUCGUCUAUUUGAGACCUCGAUGUACUCACAUUAGCAAUAAUGAAUGUCUUAAGAAUUUUUUCGAAGUUAUGAAACUAUUCUCCUCUUAUGGUUCGUAUUGAUUUACAAAAAAGAUAUACAUUCUUACAUCGUCCUUAGAAACAUGGCAUAUUCUUCCUUUGAAGGUGACUCAUGGCACCGCAUCCUCAAUGAGGAUCACCCACGUGUUUCCGGUUAAGUUAAGUCUUCUACCCUAUAGCAGAUUUUCUAUCAUCAAUUGUUCAACUAGGCUCAUCCAAGCUCAGUGUGAUAUCUUAGAACUGUUCGAAAUUAAGGAGAUAGUGGUUUCAAGUGUGCCUCGCACUACCAACCCUCUACGGACAUGCCUGGUCAUACUGACUUGGAGUUACCGAAAGCUUUUGAUUUUGGAUCCCCUUACGCUAUUAAACCAAUUGCCGUCUUGCAAAAGACGUUGAAAACUUAUCAAAACCGGAAAAUUAUCAUCAUGAUCGAAUCAUCUAGGUCCUCUGAGUUAGUUUAUGUUCAUGUUAGGGAGCUUUUGCUGACUAGUCAUGGAGUUUACGACCUUAGAACGACUGAAAGGACUUGGUUUUGAUCAUACACACGUCACUUUUUGCUAAGGCAAAAGCCUACACGCCACUUGCAAGCUUCACAGCUUCGCACAUGCCAAUUCUGUGAAAAACAGCAAUCUGUCCCUUCUAGACAGUCAACUUCGUUUGAGUUUUGUGAACUGCUCCAGACGAAUCAGACAGUGAGCUUUAUAUCAUUGGAAAGCUCUACGAGUGUAGUUUUCACAACUUUUCACGGUUUGUCCAUAUCUAUUUUCACGAAGAAGUUAUGGCUUUUUUAGUGCGCAAAGGUCAUUCUAUGCUGAAAUUUUUAUGCACUCUCGGGAUUGCAGCUUUUCGUAGCUUCUUUCAAUCCUUCUAAAUGGUUCAAGUGGAACUAUUUACUCUCUUAUCUACUCCAUUUUUGUAGAUCUGUCAUAUAGAGACAUUGAGUGCCUCGUAGAUAGUGGAACUAUCCACAACAUUCUAAGGAACCGGCAACUAUCUUUGGAUUUUGUGCCUUUAUAAAUCUUCUGUGACUACAAUGAUUGAAUCAUACCGGUCAUUCAGGGACGCGGUUUAGCUUGAAUCUUGAUGCCUCAUGGCACCAUGAUCAAUGUCACAGAUACCCUCUAUGCAUUGAGAGGCAAUCGAACCAUAUUCAGCUUUAAAGACAUUCCUGCUAAUAGUUUUCAUUUGAAAACACAUUGUGAGAAUAAACAAGAAUUCUUUUGUGUAUACCUUCUCAUGAAUGCGGACUGAAGCGCAUCUUGGAGAAAUUCAUGGUGGACUGUAUGUCACUACGAUUCGAAUAUCGAAUCCCAUGUUAUCGCCAAACAUGAUAUUUGGGACAUCGACUCAUAUAGGCUUUGGUUUGACCAAAUUGGUCACCUGGAAGAGAUAUAAUGGUCCAAAUUUUGAAAAAUUCUCAUGGACAUCCAUUCUUCCUCUCAAAACGAAGACAUUCGAGAUCUACCAUCACCAUGAAGCAUGGUGGUGACCCGGGGGAUAUUGACGUCACCCGAACACGACUCCAACUUCCUGGAGGUCGUCCGGUCAAUUCCUCAAGCAAUUGAGGUGCACCGGUCUUCUCUCGAUGUCGCAUUGGCCCCCUGCAAUGCUCAUUGCUCGUUUUGAAAGCUUAUUCUUUAGCUAAAUUAGGAGUGAGACCCUCCUACGCUAAAUGACACAAAAGAGAAUAUUCUAUCCUUACAUCAAACUAUGUAGAUAAAUACAACCAACUUGCGGACACCUUUUUAUGCUUUAUGGUGUUGGUUGAAGUGUUAACACACUGGUCACAUGUUACACUAUUAUCUACGGUUUAUGCUGCUUAUACUUCUACGGGCUCACUACCCAUAUUCUUUAAAGAAGUUUAUCGGGAUGUAAGUUGACUAUUCUUCUACGACCCACCAUCAUUGAAUAUUUUUGUACUACAGCUCGUGACUGUGUACCAGGAUUGCAAUCCUUGAGCUCAAACAAGAUUGAACUAUAUCUCCAAUCCUUGAGCUCGGCUAAAUGUUAUUUCUAGGUGCCAAAUCGCAUUGCCACUGCGUACAAUGAUGGGUCAUUUGAGAUGAACCUCCACCUAUAAUCCGCAUAUGUAGAAACCUUGCCAGACGAUCUCUUUCACCGCUAUAUUGCGGAUGGUCACUUUGAUGAGACAAUAUUCCCGCCGUUAGGGGGAGAUAAGAACAUAAGUGUUCAAUUGGAAGGACGUGAAUUGUCGUGGUUUGUCCCCACUAAGUCUCAUCUUGAUCCCAAAUGCUUAAAGUAUUAAAGUUACGAGAUCACAUGUUGCAAAUAUGUCUGCAAGGAUUGAUGUCCUCCAAAAGGACAUGGUGCGACCAAAUGGUGUUGGUCUUGACGCCAUCACCAUGGAUGGUGAUAUAGUGACGCCAUAUAGUGGCAAAAUUAGUGUCACAAGGCCCUGUGGCUCCCCAAAAGAAGGGAGACCCUUAGGUUCGAUACUUUCUCGCACUAGAAAGAAAGCGAGCUUGGCACAAUCUGAUCCAUUAAUCAGUGAUACUCAAAUCCGUCUCAUGAAGUCUGAAUUGUGAUUAUCGUUGGGGGAGGCCUCAAUGUCAAAUCCAAUCCAUAUAAAGAUCUCUACAAGUAUUACACUAGUGUAUAUGAGGACGUGGGAUAAUGAGUCUACUAUCAAACCACCCUUCGUUGAUGGAUAUCAACUUAGUUAAUUGGCCUAAUGGAAAGAUGCGAUCCAACAUUAACAAAGAGAUAGGUCCUUGGGCAGGUGAUGCCGACACCGCAAGCUAAACCCUAUCAACUAUGUCUUUGUUAGAUAGCAUAGUAAGAACAAGAGUUUAAACUCACCUUAUGGCGCAGGGUCUCUCACUAACACGCACUGAGAUCGACUACAAUGAGAUAUGCUCUCCUAAUGGAUGUCAUUGAACUCCACUACUUUGUCAGUUUGGUAGUUUCCGAAUAACUGAACAUGCAGCCUAUGAAUGUGGUCAUAAUAAUAUCUCUAUGGGAUCAGAGAUAUACAUGAAGAUCUUAAACGGACUUCAUUCAUCCGAAUCAAGUGGUUCCAAACCACAAGAGCAUGCGUUUGCUAAAUGUAUUGAAACACACAUGGACUCUACUUGAUUUGGAAGGGAUAUGGUGAAUUAUGCCCUUGUGUGUUCAUUCCGGAUUUACAUGGACUCUUGAUGGAUCAAGAGAUGCCAAUAUGUAUCAACAUCCGAAGAAAAAGAUCUUGGGAAGACACAGUCUUGAUAAGGCACUCGAUGACUGUAUUGAUGAUGAUUUUCCAUCAAUCGGCUUAGGCACUUUAUAACUAGUGAGGCCUACAUAUACUCCCAUGAUUAGUCAAGGUCUUUGCUAUAAAUAGAGAUCUGUUGUUUUGUCUAAAGCUAAAUGACAAAUAUGUGUUAAGAGAUGGAGUUCCCAUCUAAGUACAAUAAGACGCAUCAAUGUACUCAACACAAUACGAAAGACUUGACAUCUUAUUCGCUAUGAAAAGUUAUAAAGCUAAGUGUAGCUAUGCGCCCACGCAACACCAAUGUAAUGGCAGUAACUCCUUUUUCAAUACUUAAUGGUAUGAAAGGUUGAGGCUUAUUCUAUCCGUACAUAAGAAAGACACAUCAAUAGCGAAAUCAGAAUCUGCCAAGUUUUGUAGGUCAACUUCCACGGGACCUACAGGAAAUCUCACUCACUAGAAAAUGGUGAAAUUGGUACCAUUGAAAAGAUCUAUGUGUCUACUUUCCAGGCACACCAACCAUUUGAUCAUACCUAUCAUAUUGAGUGAGUUAUGGCCAUUUUCGUAAAGUAGGACGAAUCUGUCCGAGAAUCUGAUUUUGGCAAAAUAGUCAACUUCGACGGAACUUUGUGAACAGAUCCUGACAAACCAGAAUGUGUGUAUAUACGGUUGGAAAGCUAAAUGAGUCUAGUUUCCAAAACCGUUUACGGUUCGUUCAUAUGUAUUUCCUAGAGGAAGUUACGACUGUUCUACUAACUGAAGGUCAUGCUGCGCAGAAAUCUGAUUUCCUGCACGAACUUAUGUUUUAAGUUCACAAGCGACCUUCUCCUCAAGAUCUAAGUGUAAAAGAUCAUUUGAGGACAAUACGGCAUGAUUUAGUUAAUCAUUGCCCAAUGCCACAUUUGAAGACAUGUUAAAGAGCAUUGACAUGCUAAGUUGUUAAAACUUCCGUGAUUAGUAAAAAUCAGGAAGAGCCCUAUGAUUGAUGUAAAGAUCAGGGGGAGGUGCAAACUUCAGGGGGAGUCUAGCACAUACAUACAUGUCGCUAUCAAAUGUGAAGGGUGCGUUGUACUCUUUUUCUCCUAAGAUCAAGGUUCAGUUUUUCUCCCACAAGAUUUUUGUGACUUGAUGAGGUUUUUGACGAGGCAACAGAUCAGUACCAUCGGCAUAUCAGCGCACGACACAAGAGGGAGUGUUCUAGGAUAUUCUGUAUCUUUCUAUAUAUUCUUUAUGUGUGCCUUGGCCUUAUGCCAAUAUGAUAUGUAGUUAGACUAGAUCUAUGUAUUCAUAUCCUUAUCAUAUUAAUAUUGUGUAAUUCCUUAUAUAAAGGGCUCAUAUCAAUGAAUAAGAUGAUGAUUCUUUUGCUAUCUUUUUAUCUAUACACUUUAUACUUCAUCACCUAUAUAUAAUUUGUCCAAAAUAAAUUUUAAAUAUACGUAAUCAUCCAAAAGAAGUUCGAUAGAGAUUUUUCUAUUUUUUAUUUUAUAUUCGAUAUAGAAUAUGGCAUAUAGAUAUCAUAAUUUUGUUAUGUAAAAAUAAAAUAUUAAAAUUGAUAAGUUAAAAGUCUAGAACUAAAUUUUGGUUCACAAAGAUAGACACUACCAGAAGAAAGGCUUUAGCCGACGAAAAUAGAAAAACCAGGUUGACGAACUAUUUUUUGUCGGUUAAAGUCCACGUUAGCCGACGAAAUUUUACUUCGUCAGCUAAUUUAAAUAUUCGUCGGCUAUGGUCAACUUUAGCCGACGAAAUUAAAAAUUCGUCGGCUAAAGAAUUUUUUUCGUCGGUUAUAGUCUGUGAACUAUAGCCGACGACUUUAACCAUACUUUAGCCGAUGAGUGCUUUAUAUUUGCAGAUCUGGACAACAGCUCAUGUAGGAAAAAAAACGGGAGAAAAGGUUUGGGUGUUGUCGAAAUCUAUCCAUAAUUAGUUUGUGGAGCUAUAUAUAGGUACGUAUAUGUGUAUAUAUGUUGAUUUUGAGUUUUAUUUGAGUUGAUCUAUUUUGAGUGUGAUUGAGUUGAUCGAUUUUGAGUACGUGGAUGUAUAUAUAUAUGUGUUGAUCGAUUUGGUUAAUGAUUUGAUAAUAUAUAUGAAGUUGUUGUUAAUAAGUACUAGAUAUAUAUAUAUAUAUAUAUAUAUAUAUGUUAAUUAAUUUAUAAUAUUGUGUUGUAUGGUAUGUAGUUGUUGAUGAUAUGAGUUGAUGAUGUAUUUGUGAUGAUUGUUGAUAUAUAAUAUUGUAUGUAAUUAUUAAGUGUGUAUAUAUAUAUAUAGUGUGUGGUUAUUUAAAUUUAAUUUGUUAAUUAAUUAGUUGUAGUACGUAGAAUACUAAAUGAAUUGAGAUUUAUAUAUGGAAUUUAAUUAAUAAUUAGCUAGAGUUAUACAUAUAUAUUUUGUUAUAUUUUCAAGAUAUGGAUAAAAGUUGGAUUUCGCUUCCAAAAUGGGACAAAAGAUAUGGUAAAAGAGUUAUGAGUUUUCUGGAAUAUGCGCUGGCUAAUGCUAACGGGAAUACAAUUUUCUAUUGCCUGUGCACGAAAUGUCAGUGUCGCAGCGAUAUGCAUCGAUUUACGAUUGACAAAGUAUGGCAGCACCUGAAGAGUAACAGGUUUUGGGAGAAGUACACAUGUUGGUUAUAUAUAUCACGGUGAAACAUCAUCAGGGGGUCCGCAUGAUCAUGACUAAUUUUCUGAGACGGGCAGUACAUCCAACGAUCCAACAACGGCGUUCAUCAACGACAUGUUUCCUUAUGAGAGUGGUGUAUGCGCUCAAGGACAGUAUAUGCCUGAGCCGAUGUAGCCCUUCCCUAGAGUUGUCAACACUGCUGGUAUUGACAAGUACAACAAACUGCUUGCUUUCCAACAGACCCCUGUGUACCCCGGUUGUCAGAAGACCGUUCUUGAAAGUGUGAUGGACAUAAUGAAGAUUAAAGUUGAGACAAAAUCGACCGUGAAGGCUGUUGAUGAUUAUCUACAGUACACUGCUUCGAUGCUGCCCCACGGUCAUCGUCUUCCUACCACUCAUCAUUAGGUCCGAUGUAUCCAGAAAGAUCUUAGGCUUUCCUACAUCAAGAUCCAUGCAUGCAGAUAUGAUUGCGUUCUCUUCUGGGGUAAAGAUCUAGAAGGGAAUGACCUUGGUGGCCUUGACGUAUGUCUGGUAUGUCACACUGACAAAUAUAAGCUGACUCCUGUAGGCAAUAGGAAACCUGUGAAGGUACUUCGGUAUUUCCCGUUGAGGGAUAGGCUGGAGCGGUUGUACAUGUCUUCACACACAGCCGAAGCUAUGAGAUGGCACGCUGAUAGGGAAUUGGAUGACGAAGAUACUCUUAUACACCCUGCUGACGGGGAGGCUUGGAAGCAUAUAUAGACAAGGAGUUUCCUCAUUUUGCGUCAGAGGUCCGAAAUGUGAGGCUCGGGCUCUCAUCCGAUGGGUUCAACCCUUUUGGCAACAUGAGUCUUCAAUACAGUGUAUGGCCGGUGAUUUUGGUACCGUACAACCUUCCUCCAUGGAUGUGCAUGAAGAAGGAAUACAAUAUGUUGAGUUUGUUGAUUCCGGGGCCCGGUUAUCCAGGGAAGUGUCUCGAUGUGUAUUUGAGACCUUUGAUUGAAGAGCUUAAGUUUUUGUGGGACGUUGGUCAUCCCAUUUAUGACAAGUACAUGCACGAGAUGUUCCAGAUGCAUGUCAAGGUUGUUGGUACCAUCAGUGAUUUUUUCCUGCCCGUGGGAUGUUGUCGGGCAACGUUGUUAGGGGAUACAAGNNNNNNNNNNNNNNNNNNNNNNNNNNNNNNNNNNNNNNNNNNNNNNNNNNNNNNNNNNNNNNNNNNNNNNNNNNNNNNNNNNNNNNNNNNNNNNNNNNNNNNNNNNNNNNNNNNNNNNNNNNNNNNNNNNNNNNNNNNNNNNNNNNNNNNNNNNNNNNNNNNNNNNNNNNNNNNNNNNNNNNNNNNNNNNNNNNNNNNNNNNNNNNNNNNNNNNNNNNNNNNNNNNNNNNNNNNNNNNNNNNNNNNNNNNNNNNNNNNNNNNNNNNNNNNNNNNNNNNNNNNNNNNNNNNNNNNNNNNNNNNNNNNNNNNNNNNNNNNNNNNNNNNNNNNNNNNNNNNNNNNNNNAAAGAAUGGAAGAAAAAAAUGUCUCAAACUCCUUACACCGUGAUGCCUGACCAGAAGAACGUAAUUUUCAGGUGGAUGAGUCGUGUGAAGUAUCCUUCAGGCUAUGCAGGAAAUAUAGCCCGGUGUGUGAACUUCCAGGACAAUAAGAUGUACGGGUUGAAGAGUCAUGACUGUCAUAUCCUGCUACAACGUCUCUUCCCUGUUUUCAUUUAACCGUUCCUUCCCCGUCUGGUGGUGGAGCCGUUAGUAGCGUUGGCAAAAUUCUUCCAGAAGUUAUGCACACGGGAAAUGAAAAAAUUUAACCUCCGGGAAAUGCAAGAGGACAUCAUUUAUAUCAUGUGUAAAUUUAAGAGGAUAUUUCCUCCAAAUUUUUUUGACAUCAUGCCUCACCUGAUGAUCUAUCUUCCCGAGCAAUUGUUGCUUACCGGUCCAGUACACUACACUUGGAUGUAUCUCAUGGAAAGGUACGUUUUUUACACCUAAAUUCCUCAAUAUAUAUACAUGUUCAAUAAUCAUAACACUUUGCAACUUGAUUUAUAUGCAACUUGGAGACUACAAAGAUUAUGUGGUUAAUAAAUCCGCGCCUGAAGGAUGUAUAGUUAAAGCAUAUAUUGCGCACGAGUGUGUCACCUACAUGAAGUUGUAUUUAGGAGCGUUGAAGGAAACUCCGCAAACCAUACCGGUAGAUAUACCGACGUUCAAUCUUUCCAUACUCUCCAGUGAUGUUGAAGUUUAUGGAAUUUUGCCAGACUCCUACAAGUUGCAACCACAUGAGCUAGUCAUUGCCCACUGGUGGAUAUUGAUUAACUGUCCAGAAGUUGAAUACUGGAAAGACAUCCAUCUAUAUUGUCUAGACAUAUAAGGUGAUCUCGAGUACCACAAUAGGGAGUUCGCAAAUUAUAUAUUUUGGCGGCUGGGUACAUAAUUCAAUAUUUCUGUACGUGUUUAUGUUUAUUGUAUAAUUAUUCAUAUUUACAGUUGAAUGGUUAGUUGCAGAUGAACCAUAUUUAAUUUGAUGGUCACCCAAAUUGGUCGCACGAACUAAGACUUUUAGCGAUGAAGCCGAUAAUGUCAAGAGUUUAUCCGAUGUGCAAGGUGAAUGACGUGCAAUUUAUAUGUGAACAGAGAGACAGCAGACGGAGAACACAGAAUUCUGGGGUAAUGGCGCAUGGUGGGCAGAAUGGAGUUGCCUAUUACGAUGUUCUCCAUUCAUUGGUGGAACUCACAAUGCACCUCUUCAAGUGUAGAUAGUUUGAUACUAGGUCGCAGAGCAUGAAGACCGAUCAGUACGGAAUAUUAUCGGUGAAAACUGCUACAAGUUGUUACGAAGAUGACCCGUUCGUUUUUGCCACAUCGGUAAAACAAGUGUUUUAUCUUGAUGACCUUGCUAAGGGUGACACGUGGAAAGUAGUCAACCUUGUGCACCCUCGAAACAUUUACCGGGCGGCUACACUUGGAGAGGCCGAAGACGAGGAAAAAGAUGUUGCGUAUCAAGAGCCCAGCGCAAUAGGUAUUCCUAACUCCUCUACUGUUGGCCUUAAUAAUUUUAAAGCGGGUCGUUCGGUGCAAAUUCGUGAUGAAGAGACGAGGCUUAUUGAUAUUGAUCCAAAUCAAGAAACAGACGAAGACUCUGGCGAUGAGGAAAUGUAUAGAUUACCAAAAAUUAAUUCUGACACCGAAGAAGACUCAUCGGAUGAUUCCGAUUACGAGCCUUAGUUUUAAUUUCGAUUACAUUAAUUUGUAAUAAAAAAGAAUGUAUUACAUUUAUAGUUUAUAUGUGUUGAAUUCAUAUUUCAGUUAUUUUAUAUGAAUUUUGGUGAUAUAUGAACAUGAAGUUAGUAUGGUUUACAUUAAACGUUCUGUUUUUUUAAUGUAUUUUUAUACUUUAGCCGACGAAAUAUACCAUAAUUCGUCGGCUUAAACAAUCUUAGCCGACGAAAUAUACCAGAAUUUGUCGGCUAAGAUGCGGUUAGCCGACGAAUACCCUAAUAUUUCGUCGGCUAAACCCUAAACCCUAAACCUUAGCUGACGAAUACCCUAAAAUACGACUUGUUGCGUCUCAUCGAUUUGAAACUAUUUUCAGUUGAAGGUCCGGCCAAGAUACGUAAUUUAGACGGUCCAAUGACCUUUUUCGUGCGUUUAGGAGUUUGACUUACGAGAUUGACCGUCUGGAUCGAGCCCUUAACCUUGUCGGAUCAAGUUGAUUUUUUUCCCAUACAUGUAUUUUAUCAUGAUGGUCAGAUCUGACGGUCGAAUUUUCGUUUCUCAAGUUUGGUCAUCACAAUCACAACAGCCUACUAAUCUUGUGUAACUUGUUUACCAAGUGUUAAGUAAAUGUUCCGUUUCAAAAACAAAUUAUACGUAGAACCUUCAAACGCAAAAAAGUCGUGAAAUAAGAUAUGACUAGAAUGGUGAAAUACGUCCACGGUUGUAAAAUCACGGUAUUCCGGUAAAUUCUCGGUGCCGAUAGUUGCGGUCAAUGCAAUUUUCCAUUAUUUAUCCCUAUGGGUAGCCUUAUCUUCGGUGGUUAUUUUCCGUAAAAUUUUUAUACGACUUGUUGCGUCUCAUCGGUUUGAAACUAUUUUCAGUUGAAGAUCCGGCCAAGAUACGUAAUUUAGACGGUCCAAUGACAUUUUCCGUGCGUUUAGGGGUUUGACUUACGGGAUUGACCGCCCGGAUUGAGCCCUUAAACUUGUCGGAUCAAGUUGAAUUUUUCCCAUACAUGUAUUUUAUCAUGAUAGUCAGAUCUGGCGGUCGGAUUUUCGUUUCUCAAGUUUGAUCAUCACAAUCACAACAUGUCUACUAAUGUUGUAUAACUUGUUUACAAAUGUCAAGUAAAUGUUCCGUUUCAAAAACAAAUUAUACGUAGAACCUUCAAACGGAAAAAAGUCAUGAAAUAAGAUAUGACCAGAAUGGUGAAAUACGUCCACGGUUGAAAAAUCACGGUAUUUCGGUAAAGUCUCGGUGCCGAUAGCGCUCAAUGCAAUUUUCCAUUCUUUCUCCCUAUGGGUAGCCCUAAUGUCGGUGGUUAUUUUCCGUAAAAUUUUUAUACGACUUGUUGCGUCUCAUCGCUUUGAAACUAUUUUCAGUUGAAGGUCCGGCCAAAAUACCAAAUUUAGACGGUCCAAUGACCUUUUUCGUGCAUUUAGGUUUGACUUACGGGAUUGACCUUCCGGAUCGAGCCCUUAACCUUGUCGGAUCAAGUUGAAUUUUUUCCCAUACAUGUAUUUUAUCAUGAUGGUCAGAUCUGACGGUCACAUUUUCGUUUCUCAUGUUUGAUCAUCACAAUCACAAUUUGCCGAAUGUAUAAAAGUACUUUAACCCCAGGUUUAGCCGACGAAAUUCAAAAGUUAGCUGACGAAUUUCAAAUGUUUAGCCGAUGAAUUUCAAAUGUUUAGCCGACGAAUUUCAAUGUUUAGCCGACGAAUUUAUCUUAGCCGACGAAUUUAAUAGGUUUAGCCGACGAAAUAAAAAUUUUGUCGGCUAAAGUUAUCAGGUAUAUCCCAGCGCCUGACAGCCUCCACAGCGCGAGAAAAAAACCCUAAAAACAAACCCGCCGCUCGCCUGCCUCACCGUGACGUCGUCGCUCCACAGCCUCCACCGCCUCCUAGGUUUGGCCCAAUCUCCCUCUCCUGGUCUCCCUCUCCCUCUCCCCGUCGCUCACCCAUCGUCGUCGCCUGCUCCGCUGCUCUACUCCCUUUUCAAGGUCAGGUACGGUCAUGAUCUCCCUUUUCAUAUUUCUUGUAAGGAAUCGAUCGAAUGCCGUGUGGGUUUUUGGGUUGUAUUGAAUUGUUAAUUAUUGUUACUGUUAUUAUAAUUGUUUGGAAUUUAAUGGGUAUGAAUACGAUUUGUUCAAAUUUAGAGUUUUCAAUCGAGUUAGGGUUACGAUUUCUAAGUUUGUUGUUGAUUGAUUUUGGAGGCUAAGCAUCAUAAGCAUACUGUAUACAUUUGUUGAUCAUUUUUCAGCUGAUUUACCUUAUUUAUUGUGUGAAUUAAAACUUAAUUUUCACACUCAUAAUUGUAAUGUUUUAAACAGGAUGAGCGGUAAUUUUAGAUCGACGAAGGGUUCGAAGGGCCAAAGGUCCGAAUUGUCUGAGGGAACCUUAAGCAACCCUCAAACGUCGUUUCAGGACCCCAUGACAGCUAGACGUGCGACCCUUUUGGAGACGGCACACAGGCAGCGGGAGGUGCCCCCUUCAUCGAGGCAGCCGGACGUCGCUCAUUUCUCGAGGCAGCUGUGGCCUCAGACCCAGACAGAGGUGUCUGCACCCCGUAUGCCUGAGAUACACCGGGCGCCCACUCCGAGUCCUACUUCUUCGGAUAGUGGGUUCUUCGGAUAGUGGGUCAUCUGGGGUACAGAUGCCGCCGCCUCAUCUGUUCCUUCCGCGGAUGAUACCGGCCUUACCUGCAGUCGAUGACUCAAGGACGCCGAUUUAUCCACUGCCCCCGCCAGUGGCUCCAUCAGCGGCGCACCGGUUCGUGCCUUUUGAUACGCCUCUUAUUUUCGCGUGGGUAUCAUCAUCGGCGACAGAGACGGAAUCCGUCGCGUCCACCGCAUCACCCUCACGUAAUGAAAGAUGAAUGAUUUGUUUUCUUAUAAUUAAUAAUAAAGGGUCUUUGAUUUUAAUAAUCAAUUUGGUUUAUCAUGUGAUAGGCACCGUCGUAGCGAAGCCGACAAAGAAGAAGAGAGGCCCCGUCACAGGGAAGGCUCUCGAGAAGACCGUUAGUACCUCAGGGAGGAUCGUCGUCGGUACUAACGGGGAUGGCCACAUAGUAUCGGGCGGGAAGUCGAGGACGUACUCCGGCCGCGUAGGAGCGCUCAUUAGGGAUAGAGUCCUUAUGUUGUGGUCAGACUGGGGCGAGGUCCCGUAGGAGGUUAAGGACAUGGUCCAUAACGCGAUGUCGGUGAGUUUACAAAAUGCCUCAAUAAUAUUAUGUAUUAUAUUGUUGAUUUCUCGAAAAACUAAACUAAUAAACGGUUAAAUGCAUGUGUGAUUUGAAGUUCCCGAGCACCUGAAGAACAGCUGGGCGGACGUUGUGCAUGGGGGAAGGUACGUUGGGAAGUUAAUGAAAAAACAAAAUUGUAUGUAAUAUUAAUAAUAUUUCUAAUAUUUUUGUUGUAUCUGUAGGUAAAAAGAGUGGAAGAACGAGUUGCGGACCCACUGGACUAUGCACGGGAACGCACGUUCUGGUACCCUUGUUGAGUUCCAGUAUAGGGAGUACGAGUGGCGUUGACUUCUGACAUCAGAAUUCAACAACCCUCGUAAACAGGUAUUUAAAAUUAUUUAUUUAAUUUGUCAUUAAGUACGUCCGUUUUUAAAUAUUUUACUAAUAGUUUAUUUUUUUCUUUGAAUGCCGUUUCCCGGGCGAACGCUCAGAACCGGCAACCCAACACAAGGAACCAUCAUGCCGGUUCUAGACCGUUCGCUGUCUUCAUGGACGAGGCGGCCAGGGAACAUCCAGAAGUCAACCGGUACGUCUAUACGUACGAGAAGAUAUAUCCUGACACCCAGGAGGAUAUUGUAAGUCAUCUUACGUUUUUAAAUUUUUAAUUUACUUAUAUAUAUGUCAAAAUGUUAAUUAAUCAUUUUUUUCCUAUCCAAUUAGGCUAAAGUGAGGGAGGGUAGUGACGAGGUGAUGAGUACGUGCUAUAGUGAGGGAGGCAUGGCCGGACACGCAGGAGGAAGAGAUGUCCGAAGCCAUGUCCUGGAUCGACACUUCGGAUCCGAGGGUUAGGGCGAGGAUCAUGGGCACAGCCUUCCCACCGCGAGGAAACAACUUCUACUGUCGGGGUCUAGGAAAGAAGGGCGAGGGGGUCCUGAAAACCACUCCAGAAUUUCAACGAAAGGCAGCCUCGAGUUGGAAGUUGAGAGACUACGGGAACAACAAGCUGCUCAGGCUAGAGUCGGAAGUUCAAAGACUACGGGAACAACAAGCUGGUCAGGCUGCCUAUAAUGCCGUGCAGACAGCCUAUACUGCCAUGGUAUAUGCCGCUCAACAGGCCCAGCAGCAGCAGAUGUUCCAGUACAUGCAGGAGUUUACAGCUACCCAGCUUCAAGGACUUCCGCCUCGGCCCAUGCCUACGCCUAUACCGCUACCUCUACCGCCGCAACGUCCUACGCAGCAGCCCCCAGAAUCGAAUAUUGAUUUAGACGAUCUAGAUUUUGUGUGGUUGAUCAAUUAUAUAGUUUUAUUUGUUUGUUGUUGGUUAUAUAGAAUUGUUUUGGUGUAUUUUGCAGCUUGCUUGGAAUGGUAAUUUAGAAAUUUCGGGGUUUUCUUUUUACUGGAAUGGACUUAUAGCCGACAAAACAUGCAAGAUAUUCGUCGGCUAUAGUAUUUUUAAUUCUUUUUAAUACGGUUUAGCCGACGAAUUAUGGCAUGUUUCGUCGGCUAAACACUUAUAAACCCGAGGAAACAGACUAUAUUUCGUCGGCUAUAGUUAUUUUUUUAAAAUUUUUAUUACAUACCCCGAGGAAACAGACUAUAUUUCGUCGGCUAUAGUUAUUUUUUUAAAAUUUUUAUUACAUACUUUAGCCGACGAAUAUCUUAAAUUUUUCGUUGGCUAAAGUCUCAGACUACGGUCGAUAAAACAUUUAAGAUAUUCGUCGGCUAGAUUCUGGGACAAUAGCCGACGACUUGUUUUUCGUCGGCUAAACGCUAGGACUAUAGCCGACGACGUCUUCUUAUUUCGUCGGCUAAAGUCAUGGCCGACGACCCUUUCCCGACGAAAUCAUAGCCGACGAAGGCCCGUCGGCUAAGAUCUUAACCGACGAAUUAAGCUAACAGGCCAAUGAAACUUUUUCGUCGGCUAAAGUGCUUGUCCUGGUAGUGAGAAGGAAAUUUUAAUAAAUUUACGAAAUUAAUUUAUGGUAGAAAAACCUAAUUUGGUAUGAUUAUUAACUUGGUCAUUAUUAAUAAAUUAAUUAAAUUUGAUAUGUACGCAUCCAUAUUAAGAUGUUAAGAAAAUAUUCCAUAUUAAUAUGUAACAUCCAUUAAUUGUUAGAGUUAAGAUUGUAUUUUUAUCUAAGAAUGAAGUGUUAUAAUUUAAUAAAUUGAUGAUGUGUCUAUGUGACAUGACAUGUCAUAUAGGAUUAAGAUCAUAAAUCUUAGGUCUUAUUAAGACCCUCUAAUACUACCAUUUAUUUAUUUAUUAGAAGUAGUAACACACUUACUUAAUUAAUUUUUAGACCUAGGUCUGAACGAAAUCAGAAAACCUCUCAAACUUGUUGACCACAAACUAAACUGACGGAAGUUGAGACUCGAACUCUUACAUAGAGUUUCCAUACUAAGCAGCCAAUUAUAUAUAUACAUAUAUAUGUGUGUAGUAUUUUCAUCUGAAACACAUGCUUCUCCAAUAAUAUGCGUACGCACCGACAGUGAGACAAACUCGCAAAAAUUCUGG
rnacentral:lncRNA from 1 species